rnacentral:misc_RNA from 1 species
GUGUUGGGAGAACAUCAUGGCAGCCGCCAGACAAGUCGGCAUGGAAGUAUCUGCUGAAAACAGUAAUGAUGCUUGGCCAAAAUGGAAAAUCGGACUGGCAGUUGGCGCACCUAUCGCAGUAGUGUUGGGAGGUUUAUGGUAUGUAAGGAGACGCAGAAGAAACCAAACCAAAAAGAAUAAGGAUGAAAACAAAAGUAGAACAGAAACCCAGAAACCGAAAGCAGCGAAUUCACCAAGCCGUAAUGUUCCAGAAAACUCUGAAAAGGAACUGUCACCUAGUGAGCAAGCACAGGCAGAGAAGAACAAGGGCAAUAAAUAUUUUAAAGGUGGAAAAUAUGACCAGGCCAUUAGUUGCUAUACAAAUGCAAUUCAGAUUUGUCCAGAGGGAGACAAGGAAUCAUUGUCCACAUUUUACCAUAACAGAGCUGCAGCCUAUGAAAAACUGAAAAAUACAAAGAUGGUGAUAGAGGAUUGUAAUGAAGCUCUCCGUCUCAACCCCCAGUCUCUGGUGACAGCUGACAGAGUCCUAAAAUCCUUGGGACAGGCCAAGGCCAAAGAAGAGUUCAAGAAGAGGAAGCCUACGAUGCCCUCUAAACAUUUUAUUCGUACGUACCUUAAUUCCUUCCUGAAUGACCCAGUUAUAAACGAAUCUAAGGCCUUGAUGUCACAACAGAAUGGCCACUCUGAUGAGACUGGUGCAUAUCAUCAGGCCCUACAAAAACUUGGGGCCGAGGAGUUUGAGGGGAUCAUAGAUCUCUGCACCAAGGAAAUCUCAGAAAAUACCCAGAAGGCAACUGAAGCAAGGCUCCUAAGGGGAACAUUUUACUUCCUGUGUAACCAGCAGAAGGAGGCUCUGGAAGAUUUUAACCAGGUCUUGGCAGCAGAACUCCUGGAUAAGAGAAUGAAGGUCAACGCCCUGAUCAAGAGAGAAUCGAGGAUGCCAUCAGAGACCUAGAGAAUGCCAUCAGUAAAUGCACAACAUUUGCCCCCUCUCACGUCCAGAAAUCCUUCGCUGACCACAAGAAAGCAGCAUCCCAGUUGAUGGGGAUGAACCUUCCCCUCCCCCAGUCUGUUCUACAGUCCUACAAAAACUGUGUGGACAUGUUCCCAGACUACGGAGAUGCCAGGGCGCUAUAUGCUCAGGCUCUCGGUGACGCAGGAAAGUUUGAGGAGGCUGAUAGAGAAUUCAGUAAAGCCAUUGAACUUGAACCAGACAAUGCUACAGCUCUUGUACACAGAGGGUUGUUGCAACUUCAAUGGAAACAGAACAUGAAGGAGGCUACAGCCAUUAUUAACAAAGCCAUUGAACUGGAUCCCAAAUGUGAAUACGCGUAUGAGGUUCUCGGAACUCUAGAGGUCCAGAAGGGACCAGGCAGCAUGGAGAAGGCAGUGGAGUUGUUCCAGAAAGCCAUAUCUCUGUCCAGGACCGAAUCAGAAAUGGCACAUCUCUUCUCCUUGUCUGAUGCCGCCAAAGCUCAGUUAAAUGUGGCCAAGAAGCUCGGAAUUAACCUUCCUGGUCUUGGGGCGAUGAGCAGUUGAAUUAAGAACAGUAACAGGAUUCUGAUUAACCCGAGGCAUUUGCCAAUAUAAAACCUUAACAUUACUGUGAUCUUAUGUUGAUUAUGUGUGACUUAGUCUGUGUGUGACAUUAAGGCAGUUAAUCUUGUAAUAUUAACUUCAGACUGCAUAUGACGGUAUAAUUCUAUGAGCUGGUUCCAGUGAAGUACUAGUUAAUUUUAUCUAUGGGUUGACCCAUGCUUCAUUCCAUUUCCUCAUUCAGUGGGACGUACUGCUAGAGGCGUGGACUUUUUAUGUUCAUUCUGUGAUGAUUUUCUUCAUUUAUGUCUGUAAAACUGUUUUGUAUGCAAAGAGUUUGUUAACAGUAUAUUAGUCACAUUAAAUUUCACAAAAUUU